rnacentral:rRNA from 1 species
UAGAGUUUGAUUCCUGGCUCAGAUUGAACGCUGGCGGCAGGCCUAACACAUGCAAGUCGAACGGUAGCACAGAGAGCUUGCUCUCGGGUGACGAGUGGCGGACGGGUGAGUAAUGUCUGGGAAACUGCCUGAUGGAGGGGGAUAACUACUGGAAACGGUAGCUAAUACCGCAUAACGUCGCAAGACCAAAGAGGGGGACCUUCGGGCCUCUUGCCAUCGGAUGUGCCCAGAUGGGAUUAGCUUGUUGGUGAGGUAACGGCUCACCAAGGCGACGAUCCCUAGCUGGUCUGAGAGGAUGACCAGCCACACUGGAACUGAGACACGGUCCAGACUCCUACGGGAGGCAGCAGUGGGGAAUAUUGCACAAUGGGCGCAAGCCUGAUGCAGCCAUGCCGCGUGUAUGAAGAAGGCCUUCGGGUUGUAAAGUACUUUCAGCGAGGAGGAAGGCGGUAAGGUUAAUAACCUUAUCGAUUGACGUUACUCGCAGAAGAAGCACCGGCUAACUCCGUGCCAGCAGCCGCGGUAAUACGGAGGGUGCAAGCGUUAAUCGGAAUUACUGGGCGUAAAGCGCACGCAGGCGGUCUGUCAAGUCGGAUGUGAAAUCCCUGGGCUCAACUCUGGGAACUGCAUUCGAAACUGGCAGGCUAGAGUCUUGUAGAGGGGGGGUAGAAUUUCCAGGGGUAGCGGUGAAAUGCGUAGAGAUCUGGGAGGAAAUACCGGGUGGGCGAAAGGCGGCCUCUCUGUACAAAGACUGACGCUCAGUGCGAAAGGCGUGGGGAGCAAACAGGAUUAGAUACCCCUGGGUAGUCCACGCCGUAAACGAUGCGCAAUCUUUGGAAGGGUUGUGCCCUUUGAAGGGCGUGGCUUCCCGGAGCUAACCGCGUAGUUCGACGGCCUGGGGGGGAGUACGGGCCGCAACGCUAAAACUCCAA